CGGAGAAUUAGGGUUCGAUUCCGGAGAGGGAGCCUGAGAAACGGCUACCGCAUCUACGGAAGGCAGCAGGAGCGAAAAUUGCCCAAUCCUGACACGGGGAGGCAGUGACAAGAAAUAACAACUCUAGGUUAUUCUUAGAAGUGUAAUGAGGAUAAUUUACAACCCUUACCGAAAGCAAUUGGAGGGCAAGUCUGGUGCCAGCAGCCGCGGUAAUUCCAGCUCCAAUAGCGUAUAUUAAAGUUGUUGCAGUUAAAAAGCUCGUAGUUGAAGUUCUGGCUGCUCGGUCCUCGAGCUCUGUAGCCGAGGAAUCGACAGUCAUCCGCUUGCAAAUAUAGUUCGCCUUUUACCGGGUGGCUAUAUGAGUAAGCAUUUUACCUUGAGAAAAACAGAGUGUUCCAGGCAGGUUUGUCCGGAAUGCAUUAGCAUGGAAUAAUAGAAUAUGACUGAAGUCUAUUUAUUGGUUUAAGGCUUUAGUAAUGAUUAAUAGGAACAGUCGGGGGCAUUGGUACUUGUCAGUCAGAGGUGAAAUUCUAGGAUUUGACAAAGACUAACAAAUGCGAAAGCAUUUGCCAAGGAUGUUUUCAUUAAUCAAGAACGGAAGUUAGGGGAUCAAAGACGAUCAGAUACCGUCCUAGUCUUAACUAUAAACUAUACCGACUCGGAUUCGGAUGAAUCAAAAAGUUCAUUCGGGACCGUAGGAGAAAUCAAAGUUUUUGGGUUCUGGGGGAAGUAUGGUCGCAAGGCUGAAACUUAAAGGAAUUGACGGUUUUGCACCACCAUGGAGUGGAGUCUGCGGCUUAAUUUGACCCAACACUGGGAAACUCAUCAGGGCAAGAAGAUUUUAGGAUUGACAGAUUGAGAGUUCUUUCUUGAUUGGUCUAGUGGUGGUGCAUGGCCGUUCUUAGUUGGUGGAGUGAUUUGUCUGGUUAAUUCCGUUAACGAACGAGACCUUAACCUGCUAACUAGUACACUGAUGACAAAUCAAUGUUACUUCUUAGAGGGACUAUGUGAUGUAAUCACAUGGAAGUUUGAGGCAAUAACAGGUCUGUGAUGCCCUUAGAUGUCCUGAGCUGCACGCGUACUACAAUGGUGCUUUCAACGAGCUUUUCCUGAUCCGAAAGGAUUUGGGUAAUCUUUUUAGUGAGCACCGUGCUUGGGAUAGAUCUUUGUAAUUAUGGAUCUUGAACUAGGAAUUCCUAGUAAGCACAGGUCAUCAGCCUGUGCUGAUUACGUCCCUGCAAAAUGUACACACCGCCCGUCGCUAUUACCGAUUGAGUGUUAAGGUGAACCUUCUCGAUAGAGCAAUCUAAAAAUUAAGUAAACCUUGACACUUAGAGGAAAUAAAAGUCGUAACAAGGUU
rnacentral:rRNA from 1 species